GGGGGUGACUAGUGACAGAGUGAGGGAAGGGGUGACUAGUGGCAGAGUGAGGGAAGGAAGAGCUGACUAGUGACAGAGUGAGGGAGGUGGUGACUGUCACUAGUCACCACCUCCCUCACUCUGUCACUCGUCACCACCUCCCUCUGUCACUACUCCCUCCCUCCUUCUGUCACUAGUCACCCCCUCCCUCACUCUGUCACCAGUCAUCCCCUCCCUCACUCUGUCACCUGUCACCCCC